rnacentral:misc_RNA from 1 species
CAAUGGCGCCACCGGUGGCGAUUCGGGGGCGCACAGUCGUAUCAGUUUUUAUUAUGUCAUUCUUCAUCCUUCCAUCAGCUGCCAUAUACUGCGAUGAAGACGAUUGCUAUGAUCUGCUAGGGGUUUCUCAAAACGCCAAUGCUUCAGAGAUAAAAAAAGCAUACUACAAACUCUCAUUGAAAUAUCACCCAGACAAAAACCCGGAUCCGGAGUCCAGAAAACUGUUUGUGAAAAUCGCAAAUGCUUAUGAGAUUCUGAAGGAUGAAGCUACUCGGGAGCAGUAUGAUUAUGCAAUUGCACAUCCAGAGGAGGUAUUUUACAAUACAGCUCGUUACUAUCACGCAUAUUAUGGUCAUAAAACGGAUCCUCAAUAUGUCCUGGUUGGUCUUCUUCUGAUUCUCUCGGGAUUUCAAUAUCUGAAUCAGUGGACAAGGUAUAAUCAGGCUGUAGCCAUGGUCAAGAAGACACCUGCUUACAAAAAUAGGUUACGAGCACUGGAACUUGAACGCAGUGGAGGAACUACAACCAAGAAGAAGGGUAGCAAGCAGAUGGACAAGAAAGUGGAGGAAGAUCUCAGCAAAGAACUUGAACUGGACAUAAAGGGAGCUCAAAAACCUGUCAUCUGGGAACUUAUUGGUGUUCGAUUUAUCCUCUUACCUUACACUAUAGGCAAGCUGCUAUUGUGGCAUGGCUGCUGGUUCUGGAGAUACAAAGUGAAAAAGGCUCCAUAUUCUUGGGAGGAUGCAUCCUACCUAACGCAAAGGUCCCUGAGAGUGCCUCUUGAUGCAUGGAGAAGUGUUGAUGAAUCAAUGAAGGAUGAUCUUGUUCAGAGACGAUUGUGGGAGAAGUCCAACUUAGAGAGGUACCUCGCAGAAGUGCGCAAAGAAUCUAAGCGCAGAAGAUAGCAGAUUUUGCUGCUAUGCUUUCUCAUGUUCUUCAAAUCCUGACAACAUGAUUGUUUUCGGUAGAAGUUGAACGAUAUAUUAGAGUUCACCCAUAUUGAAAUAAAAAAUAGGUGAUUUCUUUAGUUGAUUUAUAUCCGAAGGCAGAGCAAAGAUUGUUGUUGCCAUUUACCAAUUAUAUACCUGUAAACAUAUAUGAAAUUUUGAGGACGAGCAUAUUAUGGGUGCUGUUGCAUUCACAUUGCACACUUUGGUGGC